GAUGAACGCUGGCGGCGUGCCUAAUACAUGCAAGUCGAGCGAAAAGACGAGGAGCUUGCGCCUCUGUCGUUAGCGGAGGGCGGGUGAAUAACACGUGGAACACGUACUUAUAAGUGUGGUAUCACUUCGGGAAACCGGGGCUAAUACCGUAGAAUCUACUGCACCGCAUGGUUGAAUAGAGAAAGACGGUUUUGCUGUCACUUAUCGAUGGAUCUGCGCCGCAUUAGCUAGUUGUGACGGUAACGGCUUACCAAGGCAACGAUGCGUAGCAGACCUGACAGGGUGAUCGGCCGCACGGGAACUGGGACGCGGUCCUGAGUACUGCGGGAGGCACCAGAAGGGUACCUGCCGCAAUAGUCGAAAGCUUGGCGGAGUGACGCCGCGUGAGAGAUGAAGGUCUUCGGAUCGUAAAACUCUGUUAUUAGUGAAGAACAAAUGUGUAAGGAACUAUGCACGGCUUGACGGUACCUAAUCAGAAAGCCACGGCUAACUACGUG
rnacentral:rRNA from 1 species